rnacentral:rRNA from 1 species
UACGGGGGGAGCAAGCGUUGUUCGGAUUUACUGGGCGUAAAGGGCGCGUAGGCGGCCAGCGCAAGUCAGUUGUGAAAUCUCCGGGCUUAACUCGGAAAGGUCAGCCGAUACUGCGGGGCUAGAGUGCAGAAGGGGCAACUGGAAUUCUCGGUGUAGCGGUGAAAUGCGUAGAUAUCGAGAGGAACACCUGCGGCGAAGGCGGGUUGCUGGGCUGACACUGACGCUGAUUGUGCGAAAGCUAGGGGAGCGAACGGG